rnacentral:piRNA from 1 species
UAUUUAGAAUGGUACUGAUGUGA